CACUUUAUUCUUCAGCCAGAUGUGGGAAUAAUGGGGGAAUAAUACUGCCACAGAAUUCUUGGAAGGUGAUUGCACGGCGGUUAAAUACAAUUAAAUAGAAAAGGCAGCAAAGUAUAACCCCCCCAACAUAAUCCUAUACUCCGAUUUUAAGAAGAAAUAUUUAAACGUAUCUUGCUGGAGUGUGCUCAGGAUUUUUUGAACAGUCCGUGAAAGGUGACAGGGAUGUUAAUCUCCACUUCAGCCCGGGCAACUUCGCUCAAGUCCUUGGCAUUCAGAACCAGGAGAUACGCGGGCUUCUGUCCUGCCCCAGGGCUCACCACCACGCUCAGAACCACACCUGUUAAUCAGAAGUAAAUAAGGCAACGUUGGAUUUAAAACAGCCCCAGGUCACAGAUGAAAUGUCAUUGAAAUAACAUAGGAGGUAUUACACUGAUGAAUAAAGAAAAC